GGUUGGAAUGCGAUGGCCUAUGAGGUCCCUUCCAACCCAAACCAUUCUGUGAUUCCAUGAUAAAACACGGAGAUGGAUGUGAGCCUUCCGUCCUAGCACACAGCAGAGCAAGGAUGUGCUUGAGCAGGUGCCCUGCAGAGUUUUGGGGUGAUGGUUCUGUGUGCAGAAAACAGGACUUUCUAAUGACGUAAAAUGAGCAGUCCUUGCUCUCUUAAACCAUGGGCUUAAUGCCGAAUGUUCUUUUCAUGGUCCUGUUUCCUGUUAUUCUGUGCAAAUAAGUGUUAGGGCUAUUGCACAGAGUUUUUACUGGACUUUAACUAACACGGAGUUUUUACCUGAAUUUAACUAACGUGAAAGAUGGUUCCGGGGUGCAAAAGAAGAUUUUUUGGCUGCCUCCCUUGUAAGAACUGGGCUGCUGCUUGUGCUCGGGGCAUUCAAAUGGGUCUCUUUUUGCAGCAUUUUUCUUUAUUCCUUCAGUAGCUCUGGCUGUUAAUUAAUAGGGAGAAAUGCAUAAAUUGGUAGUUCGGGAUUUUGGUUUUUAAAAUUACGUUAAGGCAUUUCUGCCACCUGUGCUUAGACACACAUAGAACUAAGUUGUGGAGGAGGGAUUUUUGGCAUCAGUUUAGACAAUAAUGUCACGGGGACUCCCAGGGAUGUUGUUUGAAGUGAAAGGAAUGGCUGGGCACAAGUGGUUUGAGUUUGGUGGGAUUUCCCAGAAGGGCCAGUGCAAGAUCUCCAGGUGUGGAGAUUUUGGUUUUUAGUCCUACAUUAGUAACUUCACUUCCACAGCUGGAGGUUUUAAUGAAACCUGCCCGAGAAGGAUUGUCAGAACAAAUUGCUUGGAAUUGGCAGGAUUUAGGGUGGGUCCAGGGAAUGAAAGAAACAGAUGAUGGGAGGAUCAAGGAGAAGACCAGUUUAUUAAAACCCAGAAUAUGAUAGCAGAGGUACAAAAAUUACAUGACUGAACAUAAUGGAGAAUUAAAACAAUCCAGAUGUUGCAGACCAAGAUGAGCAAUGGGAAGAAAUACAUCAUAAGGAUUGAGGCAACGUGAGGACAGCCAGUCACUGUGGCUGUAAACAUCAUUUUAAUAACUCCUACAGCCACUGCAUGAAGGAACAGGUUACACGGAGCAUCCACAUGGAGCAGGUGGGAGCCAGGCUGCCCGUGGGGGCUCAGAUUCCCUCCUUUCUGACCCUGGUGGUCCUGCUCAGAACAGGGAAUGCCUUCAGGAGCAAAUGCAGUAGGAUUUUCCAUGGCAUUCUUGGUUGCUGAUAGUUGGAACCACCAGCAGAGAUGAUGGGUGACAGUUGCUGUGGAUCCUCUGCUCUGUAACCCCACUCCUCCACCCUUCCAGGGUGUGACUGCUGCCUCUGUUAUGAUUGUUGCCUGGCAAAUGAGAACUGACACAAAAACUGCAGCUCAUUUCAUCUGUGAAGUGAUUCAAAGUCCCUUGAAUCUGAUUAACAAACUCUUAACUGGCAUAGAAUAAACUUUGCCUGGGUCCCUGCUUGCAGAAAAAUAUCCUACAAUUUCUUAAUUCUCACUAACCUGCCUAAAUUUAGGAGUGAUGUGUUUCCUUCUUAUUUCUGCUCCAGAGCAUCUCCCAUGUUCCUGCAUUUGGGGAAUGAGGAACAGUCAGAUUUGAAGGACAAACAGCCUCAUCUGAGUAGACAGGGAAUUCUGCCUCUACAAUUACAGGAGCAAUGGGUAACUGAGAUUUAUCACGGGAUCAGACCUACAGGAAACUGCAGCAGUUGGUUCUUGGAAGCUUGUGGAACAUGAG